UACAGAGGGUGCAAGCGUUGUUCGGAAUCAUUGGGCGUAAAGGGCGUGUAGGUGGUUUGUUAAGUCAUGUGUGAAAUCCCUCGGCUCAACCGGGGAACUGCGUCUGAGACUGGCGGGCUCGAGGACAGGAGAGGAACGCGGAAUUCCAGGUGUAGCGGUGAAAUGCGUAGAUAUCUGGAGGAACACCGGUGGCGAAGGCGGCGUUCUGGACUGUUUCUGACACUGAGGAACGAAAGCCAGGGGAGCAAACGGG
rnacentral:rRNA from 1 species